GACGAACGCUGGCGGCGCGCCUAACACAUGCAAGUCGAACGAGCGAGAGAGAGCUUGCUUUCUCGAGCGAGUGGCGAACGGGUGAGUAACGCGUGAGGAACCUGCCUCAAAGAGGGGGACAACAGUUGGAAACGACUGCUAAUACCGCAUAAGCCCACGGCUCGGCAUCGAGCGGGGGGAAAAGGAGCAAUCCGCUUUGAGAUGGCCUCGCGUCCGAUUAGCUAGUUGGUGGGGUAACGGCCCACCAAGGCGACGAUCGGUAGCCGGACUGAGAGGUUGAACGGCCACAUUGGGACUGAGACACGGCCCAGACUCCUACGGGAGGCAGCAGUGGGGAAUAUUGCACAAUGGGGGAAACCCUGAUGCAGCGACGCCGCGUGGAGGAAGAAGGUCUUCGGAUUGUAAACUCCUGUUGUUGGGGAAGAUAAUGACGGUACCCAACAAGGAAGUGACGGCUAACUGCGUG
rnacentral:rRNA from 1 species